rnacentral:RNase_P_RNA from 1 species
AAAAUAAAUCGUCUUAUCGCUUUUUUAAAGAGGAAAGUCCGAACAACACAGAGCAUCGUGCUUCCUAACAGGAAGGCAGAUUUUAACUAAUCUGACAGAAAGUGCCACAGAAAAUUACCGCCUUUCGAGGUAAGGGUGAAAAGGUGAGGUAAGAGCUCACCGCUAUUUUGGUGACAAAAUGGGUCCAGGUAAACCUCACGAGUUGCAAGAUCAAAUAGGCUGGCUGUUGAAAGACAAAAGGGUUGCUCGUCCGAUGCCAGCGGGUAGAUUGCUAGAGGUGAACAGUGAUGUUCAUUCAAGAUAAAUGAUAAGAAGGCCUUCGGGCUUACAGAAUUCGGCUUAUAGAUUUAUUUUCUCU